CACUGAAAUGUAAAAAGUAUGACACUCCCCUUCAAUGAAAUGUAAAAAGUAUGACACUCCCCUUCACUGAAAUGUAAAAAGUAUGACACUCCCCCUUCAAUGAAAUGUAAAAAGUAUGACACUCCCCCUUCACUGAAAUGUAAAAAGUAUGACACUCCCCCUUCAAUGAAAUGUAAAAAGUAUGACACUCCCCCUUCAAUGAAAUGUAAAAAGUAUGACACUCCCCCUUCACUGAAAUGUAAAAAGUAUGACACUCCCCCUUCACUGAAAUGUAAAAAGUAUGACACUCCCCCUUCACUGAAAUGUAAAAAGUAUGACACUCCCCCUUCACUGAAAUGUAAAAAGUAUGACACUCUCCCUUCACUGAAAUGUAAAAAGUAUGACACUCCCCUUCAAUGAAAUGUAAAAAGUAUGACACUCCCCCUUCACUGAAAUGUAAAAAGUAUGACACUCCCCCUUCACUGAAAUGUAAAAAGUAUGACACUCCCCCUUCAAUGAAAUGUAAAAAGUAUGACACUCCCCUUCACUGAAAUGUAAAAAGUAUGACACUCCCCCUUCAAUGAAAUGUAAAAAGUAUGACACUCCCCUUCACUGAAAUGUAAAAAGUAUGACACUCCCCUUCAAUGAAAUGUAAAAAGUAUGACACUCCCCCUUCACUGAAAUGUAAAAAGUAUGACACUCCCCCUUCACUGAAAUGUAAAAAGUAUGACACUCCCCCUUCACUGAAAUGUAAAAAGUAUGACACUCCCCCUUCACUGAAAUGUAAAAAGUAUGACACUCCCCCUUCAAUGAAAUGUAAAAAGUAUGACACUCCCCCUUCACUGAAAUGUAAAAAGUAUGACACUCCCCCUUCACUGAAAUGUAAAAAGUAUGACACUCCCCCUUCACUGAAAUGUAAAAAGUAUGACACUCCCCCUUCACUGAAAUGUAAAAAGUAUGACACUCCCCCUUCACUGAAAUGUAAAAAGUAUGACACUCCCCCUUCAAUGAAAUGUAAAAAGUAUGACACUCCCCCAUUUUCCUCCAAGUAAACAUUCUGUAAAUGUUGUUCCGUCCCUUACAAUGGGAGACCAAUAACUCACGAAAGCAAAUCAUACACCUUUACAGUCCCUUACAAUGGGAGAGCAAUAACUCACGAAAGCAAAUCAAAUGGAAAUGUUUGUAAGCGUCAGCUAGUAACAGUGUUAACAUGCCAAUCUUAGGGAGAAAAAAAAAAUCUGGUUUGAUGCAUGCCAGCAAUUCUAAACAAUACAUUAAAUGCAGUUAAUGCACUAUAACUGUGACAAACGGUGCCCACAAACGUUUAGGGUCUACAUAAAGCUGUCCCGAGAGAGGAGCUUAUGGCUGACUUGAUUAAAUAAAUAUGGCGUCUAAUGACUCCUUGUUGAUUUGUGUAACUGGAUAAGAACGGCAUUCUCCUUCAAUAAAAAUGACCGUCGACGUGAGUUUAGACUUUUUGAACCAAACACACAAACAUUAUGACAUUUGAUGUUCAGUAAAUUCACAAUGUUUGUUCUUAUACCAUUAACACUUAGCUCUGAGUAUAAGCAAGUGCAUGACAAAUGAGCUGCGACGAGGUCGGCUUAUUGGUCCAGUAAUAUCUAAAUGGACAGCGACACAAAUUCAGCUAGGUGUUAGAUCAGAUACAUUCAGCUAGGUGUUAGAUCAGAUACAUUCAGCUAGGUGUUAGAUCAGAUACAUUCAGCUAGGUGUUAGAUCAGAUACAUUCAGCUAGGUGUUAGAUCAGAUACAUUCAGCUAGGUGUUAGAUCAGAUACAUUCAGCUAGGUGUUAGAUCAGAUACAUUCAGCUAGGUGUUAGAUCAGAUACAUUCAGCUAGGUGUUAGAUCAGAUACAUUCAGCUAGGUGUUAGAUCAGAUACAUUCAGCUAGGUGUUAGAUCAGAUACAUUCAGCUAGGUGUUAGAUCAGAUACAUUCAGCUAGGUGUUAGAUCAGAUACAUUCAGCUAGGUGUUAGAUCAGAUACAUUCAGCUAGGUGUUAGAACAGAUACAUUCAGCUAGGUGUUAGAUCAGAUACAUUCAGCUAGGUGUUAGAUCAGAUACAUUCAGCUAGGUGUUAGAUCAGAUACAUUCAGCUAGGUGUUAGAUCAGAUACAUUCAGCUAGGUGUUAGAUCAGAUACAUUCAGCUAGGUGUUGAGGCCUUAACUUUACUCUUCUUUAAGACACCACAAAGAGGCCUACCUUCAAACUCAGUGCCUCUUUGCUUGACAUCAUGGGAAAAUCCAAAGAAAUCAGCCAAGACCUCAGAAACAAAAUUGCUGGCCUCCACAAGUCUGGUUCAUCCUUGGG